rnacentral:rRNA from 1 species
CAAUAGCGUAUAUUAAAGUUGUUGCAGUUAAAAAGCUCGUAGUUGGAUUUCUGGUAGGAGCGACCGUGCCGAACUUGAUUGUUCGAGUAUUGUGUUGUCUUCAGCCAUCCUCGCGGAGAACUUUUCUAACAUUAACUUGUUGGGAUUGGGACCCGCGUCGUUUACUGUGAAAAAAUUAGAGUGUUUAAAGCAGGCAUUAGCUUGAAUACAUUAGCAUGGAAUAAUAAGAUAGGACUUUGGUACUAUUUUGUUGGUUUGCAUACCAAAUUAAUGAUCAACAGGAACAGUUUGAGGAUAUUCGUAUGAACAUGUCAGAGGUGAAAUUCUUGGAUUUUGAUCAGACGAACUACUGCGAAAGCAUUUAUCAAGGAUGUUUUCAUUAA